GAGUAAUGCAUAGGAAUCUGCCUUGUGGCGGGGGACAACCUGGUGAAAACCAGGCUAAUACCGCAUACGCCCUACGGGGGAAAGCGGGGGAUCUUCGGACCUCGCGCUAAUAGAUGAGCCUGCGUUAGAUUAGCUAGUUGGUAGGGUAAAGGCCUACCAAGGCGACGAUCCGUAGCUGGUCUGAGAGGAUGAUCAGCCACACUGGAACUGAGACACGGUCCAGACUCC
rnacentral:rRNA from 1 species